rnacentral:rRNA from 1 species
UACGUAGGGACCGAGCGUUGUCCGGAAUCAUUGGGCGUAAAGAGCGUGUAGGCGGCCACUUAAGUCCUGCGUGAAAUCCUGCGGCUCAACCGCAGGCGGUCGUGGGAAACUGGGUGGCUAGAGUGCGGGAGAGGAGAGUGGGAAUUCCUGGUGUAGCGGUGGAAUGCGCAGAUAUCAGGAAGAACACCCGUGGCGAAGGCGGCUCUCUGGAACGCAACUGACGCUGAGACGCGAAAGCGUGGGGAGCAAACAGG